AUUGAACGCUGGCGGCAUGCCUAACACAUGCAAGUCGAACGGCAGCACAGCAGUAGCAAUACUGUGGGUGGCGAGUGGCGGACGGGUGAGGAAUACGUCGGAAUCUGCCCAGUCGUGGGGGAUAACUAGCCGAAAGGUUAGCUAAUACCGCAUACGACCGAGAGGUGAAAGCGGGGGACCGCAAGGCCUCGCGCGAUUGGAUGAGCCGACGUCGGAUUAGCUAGUUGGCGGGGUAAAGGCCCACCAAGGCGACGAUCCGUAGCUGGUCUGAGAGGAUGAUCAGCCACACUGGAACUGAGACACGGUCCAGACUCCUACGGGAGGCAGCAGUGGGGAAUAUUGGACAAUGGGCGCAAGCCUGAUCCAGCAAUGCCGCGUGUGUGAAGAAGGCCUUCGGUUGUAAGACACUUUAUCAGGAACGAAAGACGUGGAUAAUACUCUGACGUGCUGACGGUACC
rnacentral:rRNA from 1 species